rnacentral:rRNA from 1 species
UACGUAGGGUGCAAGCGUUAAUCGGAAUUACUGGGCGUAAAGCGUGCGCAGGCGGCUUUGCAAGACAGAUGUGAAAUCCCCGGGCUUAACCUGGGAACUGCAUUUGUGACUGCAUGGCUGAAGUGCGGCAGAGGGGGAUGGAAUUCCGCGUGUAGCAGUGAAAUGCGUAGAUAUCAAGAGGAACACCUGCGGCGAAGGCGGGUUGCUGGGCUGACACUGACGCUGAGGCGCGAAAGCUAGGGGAGCGAACGGG